rnacentral:rRNA from 1 species
UGGCUACUGUGCCAGCUGGUGAAUGGCUCGGCUCGAGAGCCGACGACGGACGUGCCAAGCUGCGAAAAGCUCGUGGGACCCGCAUGGAGGGAAAGAACACGAGAUCUCCCAAUCGGAAUCCGUUCAACAAUUGCCACGCGCAAUAGGGAACGCCCUGAAUUGAAACAUCUCAGUAAGGGCAGGAAAAGAACGCAACAGCGAUGUCGUCAGUAACCGCGAGUAAACGCGACACAGCCCAAACCGAAGGUCUUCGGACCAAUGUGGUGUUCGGGUUGACAACCAAAUCUCGACACUCUCUCAGAAGUCUCCUGGAACGGAGCGUGAAACAGGGUGACAACCCCGUAUGAGAGAGCAGUACGGAUGGCGUCAAAUCCAGAGUAGCAGGGGUCGGAUAUCCUCUGUGAACAUCUCAGGCAUCCCCUGAGAAGGCUAAACACUCCUCGAGACCGAUAGCGAACAAGUAGCGUGAGCGAACGCUGAAAAGCACCCCGAGAAGGGCGGUGCAAUAGGGCCUGAAAUCAGCUGGCGAUCGAGCGACAGGGCGUACAAGGCG